UGGGCUAAGCCAGACCAGAAAGGGCCCCGUGCGCAACGUGCUUCACAAUCUCUCAGGGAAAGCGGCUAACGUGGCGCUACUCCGCCUCCCCUGUUCCUUACCCUUGGGGCGGCCGCCAUGUUUCCUGAACACAAAAUGGCGACACGUGAGGAAGACAAACAUAAAGAUGAAGUGCUUAAUUCAAGGUCACACAAUGUCGGGGAUGGACCUCCAGAUUUCCUUACUGGUGAGACGUGGUCUUGUAACACAGUGGUUAAGAAUGUGACUUUGGAGCCAGCCUGCUAGGGGCUGAAUUCUGACUCAGCCAUUUACUAACUGUGUGACCUUAGGUGGAGUCUCACUCUGUAGCCCAAGCUGGAGUGGCGUGAUCUCGACUCACUGCAACCUCCGCCUCCUGGGAUCAAGUGAUUCUCGUGCCUCAGCCUCCUGAGUAGCCGGGACUACAGAGAUGAGAUUUCACCAUAUUACCCAGGCUGUUCUUGAACUCCUAGGCUCAAGUGAUUUGUCUGCCUCGGCCUCCCAAAGUGUUGGGAUUACAGGUCACAGAAUUUUCCACACUCCUUGACAGAGGUGCUUAACCCUUAUCCAUCAGCAUUCUCAGACAGCACCUCCGGUUAGGGACAGUAUCUGACCGUCCGACAUCCCUGCAGCCCCCAUGUGUCACACAGACUCAGCCUCAGGUAGAUGGUUUCCGUAGAUGGUGGCUUUCUUUGGACCCUUGACAUCAACCAGUUACUAUUUGGGGACCAGAUGUGCAGAGGUAAUGAAUACCAGGGAAUCAGGAAACCACUGGAUCAGUUCUUUGAGCCACAGAACAACACUCAUCCCAGCAGCUGGGAAGCUAUCUGCAAAAGUCCAUCUGCAGAAAGGGCUUCCUGGUCUUGCGUGUGGCUGGGCCAUUUCUCUGGAUGCAGGUUUUUCAUUAUACAGUCUUCUCAAAGAACCACCUGCUCUCAACACC
rnacentral:lncRNA from 1 species